rnacentral:lncRNA from 1 species
ACAAGUUACUAGGAUUUUAAAGGAAACUGAAUGUUCAUUGAAGAGCAGCCUAUGCUGAGCUCUUGGUUUUUUUACAUGUGUUUUUCUUUUCUUUUUUUUUUUUUUUAAGAUUUUAUUUAUUUAUUCGACAGAGAUAGAGACAGCCAGCAAGAAAGGGAACACAAGCAGGGGGAGUGGGAGAGGAAGAAGCAGGCUCACAGCAGAGGAGCCUGAUGUGGGGCUCGAUCCCAUAACGCCGGGAUCACGCCCUGAGCCGAAGGCAGACACUCAACCGCUGUGCCACCCAGGCGCCCCUUACAUGUGUUUUUCUACGUCUCCAGUUCAACCUCUAGAAAACUGCUGACAUGGUUUUGGAGAAGCCCCUAGAGAGGACUAAAGAAGCUGAGAAACCCGGUUGGGGGAAGAGGUCAAGCUCACCUGCAAAAGCCACACAGCUCAGGGACCAUCCUCGCAUCCCUGAGAAAAUGAAUCAAAACAGCUCCCUCCAGCUUGUUCUUUGAAAUAAUCCUGAGACAGCUGAGUGACGCAGCCUAUGGGCAGAUGUGUGGCUGACCUUUCUUCUAAGUGCGCAAUAGCUGAG